CACAUACUCCCUCCGUUCGGAAUUAUUUGUCCAAGAAAUAAAUGUAUCUAGAUGUAUUUUAGUUGUAGAUACAUCCAUUUUUAUUCACUUUUGUGAUAAGUAAUUUCAAACAGAGGGAGUAUGUU
rfam:Triticum aestivum genome assembly, contig: Triticum_aestivum_CS42_TGACv1_scaffold_030532_1BL